GGAGCUCCUUGAUCUGCUCCUCCUGUCGCUGCACUAUGCCCAUGAGCGUAUUCAAUUGCUCGCGGAGCAUCGGGUCUCCGCUCGCCUCAGCUUGCCCAGGAACAUCACUUGUCCCUUCCCGCGCCGAUCUGGAUGAGGAUCGCCUACGCGGUGCCAUCGCUUCCUGAAACACGACAACUCGAUUAGUUCUCGACCAGCUUGGGUCG
rnacentral:lncRNA from 1 species